rnacentral:rRNA from 1 species
UACGGAGGGGGGCUAGCGUUGUUCGGAAUUACUGGGCGUAAAGGGCUCGUAGGCGGCCAACUAAGUCAGACGUGAAAUCCCUCGGCUUAACCGGGGAACUGCAUCUGAUACUGGAUGGCUUGAGAUUGGGAGAGGGAUGCGGAAUUCCAGGUGUAGCGGUGAAAUGCGUAGAUAUCUGGAGGAACACCGGUGGCGAAGGCGGCAUCCUGGACCAACACUGACGCUGAGGAGCGAAAGCCAGGGGAGCAAACGGG